CAAAAGAGCGAUCUUUAUCGUGGAAUCCCCCAUUUGGUGUCAGGCAUCGAUCUCCGGGAGCGGCUCGUGCCGAUCGUUAAUUCAACGGGGAGAUUGGAGCCCGAGAGGCGAGGAGUCGGGGGAGGAGACAUGGUGGAGCCGUAGAGAUCCGCUGUUGUCCUUGGUCCUUCCCUGUGCCCACCAUUCGACUGCGAGGAAAAGGAGAACGGGCCAUCGCCUUUGCGGCGGUCGGAAUGCAGGCCAAUGGGGUGAAUGCCGCCCCCGCAACCGACCGCGGGGCCCCUGCUCCGUCGGACGCCAAAGGGAAGCACCGGAUCUCGGCGGAGCUCAAGCGAUUAGAGCAAGAAGCUCGAUUCCUGGAAGAAGAGAUUUCAGAACUUGAGAAAAUAGAGAAAGUUUCUGCUUCAUUGCAUGAAUUGCUGCUUCAAGUAGAAAGUAGGCGAGAUCCCCUACUCCCAGAAACAACAGGAUCUACAAGCACAUCUUGGGACCGCUGGUUCGAAGGACCUCAAGAUACGCCAGGCUGCAGAUGCUGGGUAUUCUGGUUCUAACUGAAAGAGAAAGUAACAGGUCUUCCUUGUACUUCCCUCUUGGCCUGUUAAAAGAGUCACAUAUAUCUACUACAGUAAUAUAGGAAAGGAAAUUAAGAACUAGUAUGAGAAUGACUUGUGGGGAAAUCAAAGUGAGGCAUCUUGUCUCUCAAAAGCAAAAGAACUGGAGGGUGUACCCUCCCUUACAAACCAGGCAUGGCAAAAAGAUAAGGACUUUGGGGCACAUGUUUGAGCUCAGAGAUGGAGUACAAGGGCAGCAUUUGCUUUUAGGUUGUGUUUUUCUCCUUCAUGUGGUUUCCUUUCAGGCUUUCACUUUGCCUUUUAACUUGGCCAGUAAAAAAGGAGAUCACUGCUUCCAACUUUGUUUCCAGAAUGCUUUCUUCUUGUCAAGACAAUUGGCUUCUUGUGUGAAGGCUUUGAUUCAUCUGUCCUAUGCUUGUUGGGUCUCUCUGUAACUUUCUCUUUAUCCAGGAGUUCAUAAAAGUUGC